GAUGAACGCUAGCUACAGGCUUAACACAUGCAAGUCGCGGGGCAGCAUGGGGGUUGCUUGCAAUCCCCGAUGGCGACCGGCGCACGGGUGAGUAACGCGUAUCCAACCUGCCCUUCACCACGGGAUAACCCGGCGAAAGUCGGACUAAUACCGUAUGUUGUCCAUUGACGGCAUCCGAUUUGGACGAAAGGCUUGGCGGUGAGGGAUGGGGAUGCGUCCGAUUAGCCAGACGGCGGGGUAACGGCCCACCGCGGCUACGAUCGGUAGGGGUUCUGAGAGGAAGGUCCCCCACACUGGAACUGAGACACGGUCCAGACUCCUACGGGAGGCAGCAGUGAGGAAUAUUGGUCAAUGGGCGUAAGCCUGAACCAGCCAAGUAGCGUGCAGGAGGACGGCCCUAUGGGUUGUAAACUGCUUUUAUGCGGGGAUAAAGUGGCCCACGUGUGGGCUUUUGCAGGUACCGCAUGAAUAAGGACCGGCUAAUUCCGUG
rnacentral:rRNA from 1 species